AAGAGACCUUUAAGACAGUUGGUUAUUAUGCCAUCUGGGUGUCCGCACUAAGUUUGGUAUCAGUAUGGUGACCUCCUGGGAACAGGGGGCCAUUGGGUUGCCUAAGGAUGGGAGAACUGGCCCAGGUCAGAAAGGGAGCAGGUCAGAAUUCCUGCACCAAUCGGUAGUGGGAGUGUGCCUGGGCAAUAUAGCAAGAUCUUGGUUCUU
ensembl:misc_RNA Metazoa_SRP Metazoan signal recognition particle RNA